rnacentral:rRNA from 1 species
AGAGUUUGAUCCUGGCUCAGAGCGAACGCUGGCAGCAGGCUUAACACAUGCAAGUCGAACGGGCGUAGCAAUACGUCAGUGGCAGACGGGUGAGUAACGCGUGGGAACGUACCUUUUGGUUCGGAACAGCUGAGGGAAACUUCAGCUAAUACCGAAUAAGCCCUUACGGGGAAAGAUUUAUCGCCGAAAGAUCGGCCCGCGUCUGAUUAGCUUGUUGGUGAGGUAACGGCUCACCAAGGCGACGAUCAGUAGCUGGUCUGAGAGGAUGAUCAGCCACAUUGGGACUGAGACACGGCCCAAACUCCUACGGGAGGCAGCAGUGGGGAAUAUUGGACAAUGGGCGAAAGCCUGAUCCAGC